UGCAAGAUUUCCCUCUUUACGGAAACUACGUUUUAAAACAUGACCGCACCACUACCACCCGCCCAUCGUGUCGCCACCAGUCCAUACUAUCUUAGUUCAUGGUAUAUCUGCAUGCUCCCUCAUUUGGGAAGGUCUAAUUGGAUGGACUGAAUGUUCUGAAUGUACUGAAUGGACGAGUUCUACAGUGCAGGACGUGCUGACAAGAGAAUAAUAUCAUUUUAUUCUGUGAUAAUAUCGGUAAAAAUGAUAAUCAGCAUUUUUAAAUAUCCCUUAUCUUAAUAUCCCUCUAUCUUAACUGUGUUUGUUAUUAUCACGGCUGAUAAAAAUUAUAUAAUGUAAAUGUUUUUUGUUUUUUACGAACGGUGAUUUACCAUUUUACAUAGUAAAGAUCGCUGAACUAUAGUUAGGUAAUAGUGUAAGGUAUCUGUUUCUUAUACUUACAGUUGAUGAAAAAAUAAGAAAUAAAUGACCCUGCAGUCUUCACAAUAUAGUGGAAUUUGUUGAGUUAAUUUCACAGAAGACCACAGAAUUUCUAUUCAAGAAUAAUAUUAUUGUUAAUGGUUACAAUUUGAUUAUGGAGUAAUUUUACAACCAUUCAACUGCUAUAUGAAUACAAAUAAGUCAAUUGACUGUCUCACCUCAACUAUGACGAACUAUGAAAGCAACUAGUGUACGCGAAUACAUGUUUAUAUGUUAACAUGUAUACCUUUUAAAUGCUGAAAUAUUCAAAAGUUUUUACAAAAAUAUUUUAACUGCUGUAUAUCAAUUAUUUGUUUAAUGUUAGUUGUUAGAUUUUGUAGAGAUAUUUUAAACAACAUUAAAUAAAAAAAAAUUAAAAUAAUAAAUAAGUAAAACUUAAUUUAUAAAAAC